rnacentral:lncRNA from 1 species
GGGAAGGGCCUAGCAUAGUCCACUGUGAGUACAUACAUAGCUGAUUGUAAUUGACCUAUUUCCAGGGAGGUCACCUUCUACAGUGUUGGGGCUUAGGAGUAUAGGAUACCUAUUUGGGAAAGACACUUUCAAUCCAUUAUGUAUCUUUGAUAUUGAUAGAUACAGCAAGAAAGAAGCCAGGCUAAUAUUAAAGAUAUAAUUAUUUAAGAAAAAGAAGCCAAUUUAGACUUGAUUUAUUUUUCUUUUUUCUUUUUUUAGCUUCAGAAAAAAUGCUGAAAGCAUGGAAAGAAAUGGAAGAAAAGGCCAUUCACUAUUCUGAGGUUGGUGUCAUUGGAUACCUUGAGGAUCAAAUUAUGUCUUUGCACACUGAAAUCAUGGAGCUGCAGAAGAGCCCCUAUGGGAGACGCCAGGGAGACCUGAUGGAAUCCCUGGAACAGCGUGCCAUUGAUCUCUAUAAGCAGCUAAAACACAGACCCACCGGUAAGCCACUUGAGUCACCCUCGCUGAGCAGAGUGGGUGCACUAUGAUGUUUUUUAACUUCAUAGCAAGAUCCUGUUUUGCAACAUUUGUGGCAUAGUAGCUCUAAAUUUAUAAGAAUUUAAAAGAUUAGAAGGGGAAAGUAAUAAGGAUAUUAAAGUAGAAAAGUUUUAAAAGUGAAGUGAAACGAAAGUAGAGGAGAAAAAAGAAAAAAGAGGAAUUUGGUAUUGGAUCAGUGAGUAAAGUGCUUGCUACAAAAACCCAAGUUUAGAUUCCCAACACUUGCAUACAAACACAUACAUGGUGGCACAGCUCUGUGGUCCUGCAGUACUGGGAGAGCAGAGACAGAGGGCUAAAACAGCAACCUUAGGAUUCAGAGAAAUACCCUAUCAACAAAUAGGGUGGGGUCCGUCAAGGAUGAUACGUGAAGGUGACCUUGGGCCUCUAAUAUAUCCUCUCCCCAACAAAAAGGAAGAAAU